UACAGAGGGGGCAAGCGUUGUUCGGAAUGACUGGGCGUAAAGGGCGCGUAGGCGGCCUUCUAAGUCAGACGUGAAAUCCCCCGGCUUAACCUGGGAACUGCGUCUGAUACUGGGAGGCUUGAGUAUGGGAGAGGGAUGUAGAAUUCCAGGUGUAGCGGUGAAAUGCGUAGAUAUCUGGAGGAAUACCGGUGGCGAAAGCGGCAUGCUGGGUCCCUUCUGACGCUGAGGCGCGAAAGCCAGGGGAGCAAACGGG
rnacentral:rRNA from 1 species